rnacentral:rRNA from 1 species
AUUGAACGCUGGCGGCAGGCCUAACACAUGCAAGUCGAGCGGUAGAGAGAAGCUUGCUUCUCUUGAGAGCGGCGGACGGGUGAGUAAUACCUAGGAAUCUGCCUGAUAGUGGGGGAUAACGUUCGGAAACGGACGCUAAUACCGCAUACGUCCUACGGGAGAAAGCAGGGGACCUUCGGGCCUUGCGCUAUCAGAUGAGCCUAGGUCGGAUUAGCUAGUUGGUGAGGUAAUGGCUCACCAAGGCUACGAUCCGUAACUGGUCUGAGAGGAUGAUCAGUCACACUGGAACUGAGACACGGUCCAGACUCCUACGGGAGGCAGCAGUGGGGAAUAUUGGACAAUGGGCGAAAGCCUGAUCCAGCCAUGCCGCGUGUGUGAAGAAGGUCUUCGGAUUGUAAAGCACUUUAAGUUGGGAGGAAGGGCAGUUACCUAAUACGUGAUUGUCUUGACGUACCGACAGAAUAAGCACCGCA